rnacentral:tRNA from 6 species
GGCGACAUGGCCGAGUGGUCUAAGGCGCUAGAAUCAGGAUCUAGUCAUUCGUGGCGUGGGUUCGAAUCCCACUGUCGUCA